GCUGGGCGUGGUGGCGCACGCCUGCAAUCCCAGGGGCUUGGGAGGCUGAGGCAGGAGGAUCGUGAGUUCAAAGCCAGCCUCAGCAACAGUGACGCACUAAGCAACUCAGUGAGACCCUGGCUCUA
rnacentral:sRNA from 1 species